rnacentral:sRNA from 1 species
ACCAGUCUUGCCAGAAAGAUAUAGGU